rnacentral:lncRNA from 1 species
UGCCAAGUGAGUCCUCCGUGGCUGCAGACAGCACAAUCCUUCACCCACACCGUGAACUCCCCAGAGCCUCAGGCGUCCGUGCCUUCCUUCUUUAAGACGCAGCCAGUCAGGAUCUCCUCCCCUGCUUCUGGGGGGAGGGGCCGUGGAGGCUAGCCCUAGCCAGCCUUCUGAGUGACAAGCCAGCAGCCAUAUUAGAGUGUGGGGACCGGCUGUGGAAGGCUGUUUGAUCAGAGUGGAAUUAUAGCAGUUCAUUUUCUAAAGUGCCGGGAGACCCGGGGAUGAACCUGCAGGGAGAAGGGAAAACCACAAGUGCAGCACCUCACAGAGAUGCAAUUCAUCACCGGCAUGACAGAGAGAAGUUGGACACUUCAGCGUGCCCCCUGCCGUCCCAAGGUCUGCACCAGCCUCCUCUCUCCAGGGCCUUCUCUUCCCUGCACACGCAGAGCUGCAGGAAGAUUCCUGAGGAAGGGAGGCGCUUCUCUACUCCGCCCAGUUCCACAUCUGUGGCCUCUUGAACUCGUCCCCAGGCUCUCUCCUGCUUCUCACUAGUGCUCCCAUGGUGCCACCUUGGUCCCCGAAUCUUCCUUGCACCGUCACACCAGCUGCAGCUCCUGUCAUGUACACACACUGCCACAGUACUCACCACCCUUUGUUGUAACUGCCUGAGUAUCUAUCUGUCUGCUGAGGCAUGUGUGGAAAAUGUCACAGAUUCACAGGGCAGGUAGGAACCCCACAAACUCUCUUAGCCCAGCCUGCUCAUUUCCUGGUAGAUUCAGUCAUUUUCUUUGAAGAACUUACAAUGCAAGUUGCACAUCUGCAACUUCCUACCAUCACACACUGUAUGUCUCAUAAUCCUCCAACCUCCAAAAUCUCUUAAUAUUCAGCCUUAAGUCAUAUCAUUUCAAAAGAACACCAUUAUUCGGGAAUAAAGGUAUUUUGUAGUGUUGAAGAUCACAAUUCAGCUCUAUUCUUCCUACCCUCAGGCCUUCUGUUAUUCAGACAAAAUGAUCUUAAUUCCUUGGAACUCUUCUUUGGAGAUAUAAAAAUUGGAGACAUCUUGAUAGAUUUUUUUUUUUAAUUGGAGAUUUUUGCCUAAGAAUAUUCUGCCCUCAAAAAUUUUUUUUGGCAUUUUCCCACGAGAUUCAUCUAGAGAAUAUAAUUGUUUAAUAAAUGUGAGCAAUGGAGAUAAUCCUCAGGCUCAACUCCUUGGUGUGGAUAGAGGAACGAGGAGCGAGAGCAGGGUUCUUUCCUCUUGGUGACACAGAAGAAAAGUCGGUGAGAGAAAGGAAUUUGAUUGACACAUUUCUGGGAAUGAUCUGCCAUCCUCUGUGCUGACUUUUUGGGUCCCACUUAUUCCAGCUUUCAAUGAUCAAGGUAACAGCUCAACUGUGUACUGGAUCAUGGCAACGAGGAAAUGGGUCUAACCUGGCUAGUAAUCAGCCCAGCUGAGUCGACACGCAUGGAAUGGCAUUCAGUUCUCCUCCUUACAAAGUUGUGUGUCUAGUGAGCGAGGGUUACAACUGAAAGCAGCCAUGUUAUAUCACUCACUAGAUUCAGCAAAAAGCAGCAUGAUGACUGAAAAGGUCACAAACCUGAGUCUUGGCCCUGGUUGAGUCCCUCCCACUACAAAUGACCAGCAGGAGGACUCUCUAAGGAAGAACCUUGUAACAGAUUUCUGUACAACAGCAUCGAGAUGCUAUAAGGAGAAGUUAGAUAUCGAUGGAAGUAACCUGAUCCCCAUCCCUGGAAGAAACCUCCUUGAAUGCUGCUUGUCACAGAACCUGGUAAAUAUUUUCAGGCUGCAGCAUUUGCGGUUGGGAAAGUCAAGAAGCAAAGAUUCCUCGUUCUGGCCCAUUGAAAAAUAAGUAAAGUAUGAAAUAGAUGGGUGGCCUCAUCACAUAUACGUUCUAUAACCAAGAUUUUGGAGUUGAAAACAGUGGAGACAACAUCAUAAAAGUUACUUCAGUGAAAUGUAAAUGUGCUUCCUUGGUUCAUACAGACGCAUGCAUGCACACAGACACACGCAGGGCUGGAAUGAGUCAAAGGCUUUGUUGUCAAAAUCAAGAGAGUGUGUGGUGCUCAGUGGAGCCAAGCAAAUCCAGAUCAGAGCCGACGCUGUCCUGAGGGCCACCCUGGAAACUGAGAAGCAGAAGACAAGCUCCAGAGCCUGCUGUUUGGAUUUACUGAGCUAUUUGCCCGGAGGAAGACUUACAUUCUUGAGGCAUGUGCUUUCUUGCAUCUUUCCUCACUCAAGCAGUCUCUUCUGCCUAGAGGGAGGAUAAGACUUCACAGGAGGAGACUGACAAUUCCAAGGGUUCGGCGCGCAGAUUCCUUCCAUGAGGUGUAAAUACACAUGGGCUGUACAGAGUAAGAAUCCCCCAGCUAACAGCAGGAUUUUUUUUUUUCUGACCUUUUGUCUUCAUUCAGGCAGGUAUUUAGAACUUCAGUCAUUACAGAUGGCAAAUAUUUGUCUAGACUUUUCUUUCUUUGUAUGAAAAUAGUUUCUUUUGUUAGUUAUUCCAGGAUUUUACAUAGUAUUUUCCCCACUGGAGAAAAAUCAAUGACACAUAUGCAAAUGAAACCCUCAUAUUCUCUCUGUCUCUCUGUCUCUCUCUCUCUCUCUCUCUCUCACACACACACACAUACACAACAGCACUGGCUUCUAGUUCAUUUGGCCAGCCAGGGAAGCUGGAGUGUGCUUUCUUUGGAUGUCCCCAACUGAGCUGGAAGGGAGUGGAUUGUCUACCAGGCAAUACUUUAUUCAAAUUGAUUCAGCCGUUAAUUGCUCUGUGGUUUCUGACUAAUUUCUUCCUUUCCUUUGGUGCAGUGCAUCCUCUCAAGGAAAGAGAGGUUUGAGGGUUACUUAGCAGCUUCACAAAUUCCAUUUGCUUAAAAAUGUGGAGACACCACCUAGAUUCCAAAAAAUGAAAGAGAGUUACAAAUUCUAUCGCUCCAGGGAAGUGCAGCCAUCCAGGUUCGCACAUUCCAUCCAAGAACUUCGGGCUGAGCCAGUUCUCCAGUCAGAUAAAGGAACAAAGCCUCUCGUUUGGGCACCCAGAUACCUGAUUUAAAGGACUCAGGGGAGAGUAUAUCAGAGCGGGAACAGAGGAAGUCUACAGACAUAUUGGAGACUGACUCCCUGAUUCCGAGCUCUGCUUUUGAAUGUGUUGGGGUCCCUUAUAAAAGUAUAGGUUCUGGGUAAAUUCUGAACCAAACCUAAGAUAGCUGUGGUUGACUGCAGCUAUAUUCACUAGUUAAUCUCCAGCGUGGGACAGGAUGAUCAUAUCUAUAUUCCAUUGGUUAAUAUUAACAUUAGCUGCUAAUAUCAAUGAUAUCUGACUCUAUAGAUUUGCAACUCAUUUAGAUUAACAUGCAAAUUGUCUAACUACUACAAUAUUUAUUGAGUAUUUAUAUGUAGCAUUAUAAGACUACGUAUUUGGCUUGCAUGAUCUUGUUUAAUUCUCCCAAAAUCUCUAUAAGGUAGGCACUGAUAUUUUCAUUUCCUAACUGAGGCUUCAAGAGGUUAAGUAAUUGGCCAGGGUCACCCACAGCUGGUUUCAAACCCGAGCGGUGUGACUCCACAGCAGAGCCUGAUUCCUGCACUUUAAGCUAAACUGACAUUUGUCACUUAGAACGUAUGGCAACAAUUCUUAAGGUAACUAUGCCUGCCUCUCCUAUGGCUCUGAUUAGGCUGCUAGCUUUUCUAAGGAUACAAGUCAGCUUCUCAUUUUCUCCCAUUUUCCUCAAAAUAUUCAGCACAGAGCUGUGUACAGAAUAAGCUAAAUCACUUUGACUCAUUCACACACUCAGGGAACUUGGCCAACAAUGAACUCUUCUGCCAUCUUGCUAAGUGUUGGCAGUUCUGUUUCACCCUCAAUUGCUUCUUAAGGCUUUAAAAUGCUAGAAAGAGGUUUGGAAACAGCAUUAUGUGUUGAUAAUUAUUUUUCCUGGAUUGAUGAUAAUACUGAAGAAGAAUGAGGUCACGGUGAAUUGCUCAGUGAGAGAAAAACAGCAAGCAGAAGCUUCUUAUAAAUAGAGAAAAAAGAAAGGGGAAAGUGGAAGAUGAGAAGGCAGGAUAAUUGAAGCAAACCAUUGACAGAGAAGGAUGGUUCGAGAAUUGUCCAACCAUUGUAUGUCUAUAUUGACACUUGAAGCGUUUGAUACACAGCCCUAUGAAGUUUUAUUUGGAUAAUUUGAGCUUACAGCAACUUGGCUCUGAAUCUAAGCAAAGGAAUAAAAGUGUAGCAAACAAAUUCAAGAAAUCUGGGGAGAGAACUAUGGGGUCAGGGAGUGGUUCAUGUAAGCUUACAGCAGAGGCAAGCGAGAUGGGUUUGCCAUGCAGCCCCUCCUGCUCUCCCAUAAGGACCUCCUUUUCUUCCUGGGGACAGGAUAGUUUUUCUGCACUUUGCUGUCACUCUGCUUGGCCGUAUUUUCUCAAAAACAUUAAAUGACAGCAGUCACAAACAUAUAAAUGUCAAUUAGACAGUCAAUAAAUAUUUAUUGAGUACCUGCUUUCUUUUAGCAUGGGAAGAUCUAUAAGAUAUGUGUAAUGGUGACCUCCAUAUAAUUUAGCUGGAAAGACCCCAAAACAAGGAUGGCAAAUACAUG